rnacentral:misc_RNA from 1 species
GAAAUGCGAUAAGUAAUGUGAAUUGCAGAAUUCAGUGAAUCAUCGAAUCUUUGAACGCACAUUGCGCCCGCCAGUAUUCUGGCGGGCAUGCCUGUUCGAGCGUCAUUUCAACCAUCAAGCCCCGCGCUUGUGUUGGGGACCUGCGGCUGCCGCAGGCCCUGAAAACCAGUGGCGGGCUCGCUGUCACACCGAGCGUAGUAGAUUUCUCAUCUCGCUCAGGGCGUGCUGCGGGUUCCGACCGUAAAAAAGCCUUAUUUUACCCAAGGUUGACCUCGGAUCAGGUAGGAAGACCCGCUGAACUUAAGC